GAUGAACGCUGGCGGCGUGCCUAAUACAUGCAAGUCGAGCGAACAGACGAGGAGCUUGCUCCUUUGAUGUUAGCGGCGGACGGGUGAGUAACACGUAGGUAACCUACCUAUAAGACUGGGAUAACUUCGGGAAACCGGAGCUAAUACCGGAUAAUAUUUCGAACCGCAUGGUUCGAUAGUGAAAGAUGGCUUUGCUAUCACUUAUAGAUGGACCUGCGCCGUAUUAGCUAGUUGGUAAGGUAACGGCUUACCAAGGCAACGAUACGUAGCCGACCUGAGAGGGUGAUCGGCCACACUGGAACUGAGACACGGUCCAGACUCCUACGGGAGGCAGCAGUAGGGAAUCUUCCGCAAUGGGCGAAAGCCUGACGGAGCAACGCCGCGUGAGUGAUGAAGGUCUUCGGAUCGUAAAACUCUGUUAUUAGGGAAGAACAAACGUGUAAGUAACUGUGCACGUCUUGACGGUACCUAAUCAGAAAGCCACGGCUAACUACG
rnacentral:rRNA from 1 species